rnacentral:rRNA from 1 species
GACGAACGCUGGCGGCGUGCUUAACACAUGCAAGUCGAACGGAAAGGCCUGCUUUCCCUUGUGGAUUGCGGGUACUCGAGUGGCGAACGGGUGAGUAACACGUGAGUGAUCUGCCCCCAACUUGGGUAUAAGCCUGGGAAACUGGGUCUAAUUCCCGAUAGGACUGCAGGGUGGUGCCUGUGGUGGAAAACGAUUUUCUAGUGGUUGGGGAUGAGCUCGCGGCCUAUCAGCUUAUUGGCGGGGUAAUGGCCUACCAAGGCGGCGACGGGUAGCCGGCCUGAGAGGGUGGACGGCCACAUUGGGACUGAGAUACGGCCCAGACUCCUACGGGAGGCAGCAGUGGGGAAUAUUGCACAAUGGGCGGAAGCCUGAUGCAGCGACGCCGCGUGGGGGAUGACGGCCUUCGGGUUGUAAACUCCUUUCGACCGCGAGGAAGCCACCUGGUUGGAAGGGUGGUGACGGUAGUGGUAGAAGAAGCACCGGCUAACUACGUG